rnacentral:tRNA from 1 species
UGAUGUGUGGCUCAAGUGGUAGAGUGCCAGCCUUGAGCAAAAAAGCCAAAUGAGAGCUUGAGGCCCUGAGUUCAAGUCCCAGUAAAACAA